rnacentral:rRNA from 1 species
GACAGAGGUGCCAAGCGUUAGGCGGAAUCACUGGGCUUAAAGCGUGUGUAGGCGGGUGCCUAAGUACCUUGUGAAAUCCCCCGGCUCAACCGGGGAACGGCUGGGUAUACUGGGUGCCUUGGGUCAUCUAGGGGCUGCCGGAACAAAUGGUGGAGCGGUGAAAUGCGUAGAUAUCAUUUGGAACGCCAACGGCGAAAGCAGGCAGCUGGGGAUGCACCGACGCUGAGACACGAAAGCGUGGGGAUCAAACAGG